AAUUAUAUUUGACAGUUCAAGUUGUUACCACUGACAUUAACAUCAACAAUCUCUUGAACGCAUCUCUAUAAACAGCUUCUGUUCCUUUGAUUUAUAGAUUUCCUGCUAACCGAGAAUAUCAUCCCUAGCUAUUCGUUAUGUUUCAGAUGCGAAAACAAUGUAACGUGCUUUCGGGGGUUCCGCAAACUCGACUCACUACUGGUCAACUGCUUUUCCACGGCCUUCUACAUGCCUUUGUGUAUUUAUCUUUUCCACUGGCGACGAUUUAUUAUAUCCCGCAUAUGAGAGAUAAGAAACAGUAAGAAGAAAAGAUCCAGUUUCGUCUGUUAUUGUUAGUAUUGUUUGAGUUGUUGUCUUUGUUGCAUUGAUGAACAAGUUUUGAAUAAACUGUGACUGAAAAUUUC